UGAGGGAGAGCAUACUUGACCAUUUUAUUUUCGCACAAUUCUCUCAGCACACAACAUACUUAACCAUUUCCUCGUCUCACCUCCGUCGAAUCUCCUCCAUCUCUCAGCCGACGUCGUCCUCUCCUCCUCCGCCGACGCCGUCCUCUCCUCCUCCGCCGAUGCCUUGAACCACCGCGACCUGCAGUAGACGCCACCGCCGACGCCGCCAUUCCGUCUCGACCUUCCGUAGAGUCUGCUUGUCUCCGCCACCGCCACUGCUAGCCUCCACCACCGCUAGAUCUGUGAUCCGAUUAGGAAAGCCCUUGCACUGGUAUGGCAACAGAGAGGCAGUCUAGGCCGAAUGUUGCGUGGUGAGGGUGGAGAUUGACCUGCGUAAGCCUCUGUUAAGGAGAAUCUGGAUUGCGAUUGGGGGAGAUGGAAAAGGUUUCUAGUAGUGUAUAGAUUAUGAAUAUAUGCCAAGCUAUUGCACUGGUUGUAGUCGAAUUGGACAUGCAUUGAGUAAUUGCAGAAAGCAAGUGAAUGUGGAAGUAGAUGAGCAUGCCCAGUGCACGCCAAUUGUUUGUGAAAAUGGCCCUAUGAAUUCUGGGGCUGUAGAAGCUGAAAUAGAACAGAUUACAUUUGAGUUUAUGUUAAAAGGUGGAGAAAGGGGUUGCAGUAUAUCUAAGUGGGCUAAGGGAGAAACAUUUUGGUGAACUUUUCUUGAAUGCAUCUACUGUUCUUGGAGGUCCAUUGUCAGGCGCAUUAUUGACUUUGGGUGUCUACUGGAUGACUUCACAUUGAAGCAUUUGUAUGGCUCUAUUGGACCUUCAAGAUUGAAGCUAUAGAUAAGUCAAAAUCAUAGUGCAAGGUUGAGGAAAAGGUUCAAGAGAUAGUGAUUCUUUAGAUGCAAAGUGAUGAAUUUGAGAAACAUGUUUAUUAGAGUACUAACCGGUCAGGAAGAUGGAGUCUGCAAUGACCGGACUGGUAUUUCCGACGAACGAGCCCGGGUAACGACUCAGACCCGGUGCAGGUUAAUAGCUCGGUCAUGAACGGCAUGGUUCUGACGGUCGACUUGGAGAAUGUACAUAUUACCCCCCAACGACGGAAAACCGACUAUUAUGCUCGGGAAAGAUUGACCGGGAAGAAAUUGGUCAUCGGAAAGAUUCAUCAUGCAAUGGCUGCCAAAUAUGCUAGAGUAUGGAGAGGAUGCUGACGGUGGAGCUGGUCAGGGUGUGGAGUGCUAUCAUGGUGGAGACCACAGACUUUGUAAUCGGCGCUUCUUCCUAAUUCCUCAAGCUGUCUCUGGAAAUCUCAAGAUAGUCCAGUGUCUACCGGACGUUUUUAGAGAACAAAACUGCUCUAGAAUUUUGCUUGGUGGACUGCACAACCAACGGCGAAGGCGAGGUCAGCAGCACUUUGGUUUUUGAGUAUUUUGCAUGGUUUUCUUAGGGAAGGGAAUUGGCCUUUGUCUCUUUCUCAGCUGAAGAGUAUUUUGUAGAGUGAGUUUGGGCAUGUGACUUCACGGACGGCUACCACCUCUGAUGUUGCAUGUAUUUGUUUGACUUCCUUAGUUUUUUGCAUUCCACCACCCAUAUCCACCAAUGACUUUUCUUGCUUUCCUCUACUACCAAUGCAUCCUGAAAGCUCUCAUUCCCAGUGCAGAAGUGUGAUACCCCGGAUUUAAUUUAAGCCUUGAACCUCGGUAAUUAUUUCUACCGUGAGAUUAAUUUUAUUUAAUUGGGCUUCGUUCCUUUAAUGAAGACAUAUUUCCUACUCUAGUUAUUUAUUUAAUCCAAGGGCCCAAUUCCUUGAUUUAAUCUUAUAAGGGAUUUUUCCCAUUUGGACCGUUUAUUCCUAAUAAGUAAAUUAAAUGUUUAAUGGCCCAAUCUUUGAAGUACCAUGUUUUAUAUUCAUCAAAUUAAUAUUUGUUUUGAGUGAGUCCAUUUCCUUAUUCUAACACCAUAAUGAUAUAUAUAAUAUAUAUGUAAUGAUUUUCCCCAAGUCCAUAUAAAAGCCUUACAAUAAUAAUCCCUAGCUCUUUCCUUCUCCUGCAAAAAGAAUUCCCAUCACCCUUUCAUUUCCAAAGAACCAUAAAUAUACACUACCUUCCAUCUUAGCAAGACUUCAAGAAAGGUUGCUCUUUUAGGAGUCAUGGUGCUUGGAUGAUCAAGGAGGUGAAGGUGACUUGAGGGGUUGAACAUAGAAGAGGGGAGUGCUUGGAUUGUUAGAAGCUUCAAGAGGCCGAUCGUAGCACAACGUCUCUUUUCGUAGCUCGUAUACCUUUCCGUAGCAACCAUGGUGCCACCCAGGAGACGUGAGGAUGUCCCCGACGUGCCGUUCGGCGAGCAGCUGAUGCAGAAUCUCCAGCAGCUGACGUAGAUUACGCAAUUCCUAGGAAACGAGAUGGUCUAGAACAAUCAGCGUGGGCAACCGGACCUAGUCCGGAGGGUGGCGGGGCAGCACCCACCCUUCUACGCAGGACAGGAGGAUCCAGUGGUGCUCGAGGAGUGGAUUCGCUCCUUUGAUAAGAUCCUAGGGGUGGUGGAGUGUCCGGAAGGGCGGUGGGUCAUGAUAGCUAGCUUCUACUUGCAACUGGAGGCCGACUUCUAGUGGGUCCACGAGGGUCUGGUGAUGAGGCAGGAACCCGACUUCGGUUGGGAGACCUUCAAGGAUAAGAUGUGCGCUCGCUUUUACCUCGCGCACGUGAAGGCGGCUAUGCAGGAAGAGUUCUUGCACCUCAAGCAAGGUUCUCAGUCAGUGCGGGAUUAUCAUAAGCGUUUCCUUGAGUUGGCUCGUUUCGCCCCAGUGUUGGCUUCGACGGAAGAAAGCAAGAUUGAAAGGUUCGUGGCCGGGCUGAACUUGGACACCCGUAUGGUGAGGCCUAGAGCAGCGCGGCGGACCACUACCGGGUGCUGACCACCCGGCGGUAGUGCGUCAGAUUCUAAGAGGCAUAGGCCUAGCGGCUCCAGUUCGGGGGGAAGCUUUCAGAGGAGUGGUGCUAGCAGUGGAGGCACAUCUCGCCCUGGUUUGGGGCAAGGGCCUAGAAGCGACGGAGUCAAAGAGCGGUACUUUCACUGCAGGAGGUGCGGGAGAGACCAUCCUGGGAGAGAUUGCGGAGGGCAUUUGGUUGAGUGUUUCAAUUGCGGUCAGAUGGGGCAUAGAGCGUUCGAGUGCGUGUCCGGGAAGGGAGGACCGUCCCACCCCGGUCCAAGGGCAACCCUAGGGGUGCAGACUUCGACUCGACUUCUGAAUGAAACCGAGGGCAAGAGUGGGAGCAAGCCAGGAGGUGGUCGUGGGGCGCAGACUGGACCGCAGCAAAGGAAGAUCUUCGUCAUGGGCCGAACUCAAGCUGAAGCUAACGGACUGAAUGAAGGUAACCCUUGGGCUUAAUCUCUAGUUGCAUUGCAUGUAGACAUAUGGUUUGGGUAAUUUUAGGUUGCCUUUAGUCUAUUGAACCUUUAAGUGAACCAUGCGAAUUGCGUAGAAGAUUCAGUUAGCAUUUAAGUGGUAAAGCCCGGGAAUCUGUCCCCAAGUUGCGAAGUGGGAAGUUCGCUAAAUCAAGGUCAAGAAAAAAAAAAUAAAGAGAAAAGAAGCAAUGAUUAUAAAAAAAAAAGGAUAGAAUUCAAAAAAAAAAAACAAAAAAAAGCAUGAUUAUCACAGUAAAAUUUCUGAACAAAAAUUAAUAAAUAGGAUAAUUUAGGAACAACAAGAACACUAGAUAAAUUAAGGGACCGAGAAGCAGACACAUGGGCAUGACCAAUACGGGUAAUAGACAAACCUUCACCGCUGCCAACACGGAUGGAAUCAGAACUGCGAUAAGCCUCCGCAUCCGUCAAAACAUCCUCCGAUGGUGUGGCAUGAUGGGUGGCCCCGGUGUCCGUAAACCACGACUGCGACUGCGACGCAGAAUCACAAGGAACAACGACGACGUGAACCUGCGGGGAGGCUGCUUCAGAAUAGCGCCGUUAGCAGUGUACUACCGUGUGCCCAUGGCUUCUACAUAUCUGACAGCGAGGACCUCUACCUCCGACGCGACCAGUGCGGCCAGACUGACGGUUGCCAUGCACAAAGCCGGGACUACCACCUCGCCAACCGCCGGCAUCACCAGACUGCCGGCCACCACCUGCUCGCCGCGACAUCAUAGCCGUCAGUUGGGAAUCCACCGCAGGGGAAAUAUCAUCACUGCUGGGCACGUAGCAGAUCAGAAAGCUGAGCAAUGGUCACCGGAGAGCUAACAGUGACCAGGGAAGACGCCAUAGCUCGGAACUCUGGUCGCAAACCCUUGGAAAUAUAUAGGUUCUGCGUGUCUAGCGUCACCAGCUGCCUUGUCAUCGCGAGCUCCUCCACCAGCACUUCCGCACGUCCCAGAUACUCCGUAGUCAUGCUGUCACCUUGGCGCAACUCCUGCAGCUGCGUGCGAAGACCAAGAGAGCGAGCCCGAGUCACGGACCCAAAUGCAGUAUCAAUCUCCUUCCAUAGCGAGCGUGACUUGGAGUGGCCGAGUGCAAGAUAGAGGACUUCUUCCGUAAGCGAAGCAACGAUCAUGGAGAUGACCGUCUGGUCCUAUUCAACCCAGGCAUUUAUGGUGGGAUCAUCAACAGGCAGGGAUGGGCAAGCGAACGUGUCGUCGACGAACUUGAGAAGCCCUUGACCACGAAGAAAGGGCAGGAUUUGAGCAUGCCAGUACAAAUAAUUCUUGGAGGAAAGUUUGAGCGAGACAAAGUGAUGAGCCGAGUUGAGCGAAGUCGGAGAAGGCGCUGGUGGAACCUGAGAGGAUGAGACGCCACAGUGGUGACUGUUCGCUCGGAAGACGCGUCGGACUGCACAACGAAAGCCAUUACUAGAAUCAUAGAUAGCAUAUGAUACCAAAUGAAUGUAUUGUAUUUCAAUAAUGAUAAUCGGAUACAAUAAAUACCUAAAUACAUAUAGGCAAGUACAAGAACUAUAAGUCUAACGAGACUAAACUACUGGAGUCCUAUUAGAUAGUAUAAGCUUGACAAGUUAAACAAUCUUAGACUAUAAAGAAUCUUAACUUACAUUCUUGUAAAUAUCAAAUCUUUGAUAUUUUAAUUUAAAUUCAAAGGUCAGUGCCACUUGAUACAA